GGUGAGUAACACGUAAGCAACCUGCCUAUCAGAGGGGAACAACAGUUAGAAAUGACUGCUAAUACCGCAUAUGCCUAAGUACCACAUGGUACAAUAGGGAAAGGAGUAAUCCGCUGAUAGAUGGGCUUGCGUCUGAUUAGAUAGUUGGUGGGGUAAUGGCCUACCAAGUCGACGAUCAGUAGCCGGACUGAGAGGUUGAACGGCCACAUUGGGACUGAGAUACGGCCCAGACUCCUACGGGAGGCAGCAGUCGGGAAUAUUGCGCAAUGGAGGAAACUCUGACGCAGUGACGCCGCGUGCAGGAAGAAGGUUUUCGGAUUGUAAACUGCUUUAGACAGGGAAGAAAUAAGACAGUACCUGUAGAAUAAGCUCCGGCUAACUACGUGCCAGCAGCCGCGGUAAUACGUAGGGAGCGAGCGUUAUCCGGAUUUAUUGGGUGUAAAGGGUGCGUAGACGGGAAGAUAAGUUAGUUGUGAAAUCCCUCGGCUUAACUGAGGAACUGCAACUAAAACUGUUUUUCUUGAGUACUGGAGAGGAAAGUGGAAUUCCUAGUGUAGCGGUGAAAUGCGUAGAUAUUAGGAGGAACACCAGUGGCGAAGGCGACUUUCUGGACAGAAACUGACGUUGAGGCACGAAAGUGUGGGGAGCAAACAGGAUUAGAUACCCUGGUAGUCCACACCGUAAACGAUGGAUACUA
rnacentral:rRNA from 1 species